rnacentral:rRNA from 1 species
AACGGGUGAGUAAUACAUCGGAACGUGUCCGCUCGUGGGGGACAACCAGCCGAAAGGUUGGCUAAUACCGCAUGAGUUCUACGGAAGAAAGAGGGGGACCCGCAAGGGCCUCUCGCGAGCGGAGCGGCCGAUGACUGAUUAGCCGGUUGGUGAGGUAACGGCUCACCAAAGCAACGAUCAGUAGCUGGUCUGAGAGGACGACCAGCCACACUGGGACUGAGACACGGCCCAGACUCCUACGGAAGGCAGCAG